ACAGAGAAGCGGAAAUACUAACUGUGUGGCCCUUAUACCCGCCGCUGUGGUAGUUAUAAUGGCCUGGGCCCAGUUUGUUGCUGGGGAAGCACAUCACAUAAGUCAUAACCUAUAGUAUAAGGUACCAUGGUAUGAUUAAUGGGAAACAUUUGCUCUCUGGUCUGCUGUAAAUCCAGCUUUUCAACCCGAAGAUUUAAAGUAGAACCGAACCCAUGCUUUAACAAUACGGCACAAUCUCCAUGCUUUGUCUCCAAUCACACCAAGCAUGUGCAAGUGACGCAAGGAACAGACUAAGGCUUUUUGUCUGCUGAGCUCGAGAUUGUUUAAAUGGCACCCAAGUCUCCGUGAUUUCAUAAAUAUUCUUAUUUUUUAAAUUAAAAAGCCAUUUUUCUUUUAAA